GUAAAUUAGACAACCUGGUAUGAAUGAUAUCUGCCACUCCAUCAACCUGCCUGUCCAGGUAGCUGUCUCCUUUCUCCUUAGCACUACAUAUGUGUCCUUCCCAGAACUGGACUCUUGGAGGAAGAGUUUGGCCUUCUCUAUGGAGUAGGAGCAAUCUGUGGUCCAGGAGGCAUGAGUAACUGUGCUUCUCUGCUAGAAACCCCAAACAAGUCCCCCAAAGUGGAUCAGGAAGGUUCCAUUCUACAAGGUUACCAAAUGGAGUGGCCUAUUU
rnacentral:snRNA from 1 species